rnacentral:sRNA from 1 species
UUGCGCAAGUAAUGUUUUAUGGGGCAAUUUUCGCAAUCAUCUGCCGCCCUCUCAGGCCUAUUCUUUUUAACAGAAUCACUGCCCGGACAUAGCGUCCAGCGCGGCUCGCCGAAUCAGGCCAGCUGCGGCCUCCAGCCCCAAAGGGUUGCCAGGCCCCCGGGCUGCAUACUGUCCAGAAGACGGCAUGAGGUGAGCCGACGCCACAAGCGUUGAGCCAGGACGAAAUUCCCAAAGGGGGCCUCAAGGCCCCCU